AUUAUAUACAAUCAAUAUUUUUAACAAUCCAUUUAUAAUAGCAUGAGUGAUGUGAAAUUAUAUACAGUCAUGAACAUUGUAAGGAAAUGUACAAGUUUGCAUAGAACCAUAGAUAUUAGAGGACCUAGAAACUAAAAUGAAAUUGUGGGCGUGGCUAUGCUAAGUCUAAGAUUGCGCAUGCUCAGUAGAUCUAGAGCUGUGAAACCAUGUGCUCCAAGAAAAGAGAAGACGAUUACCCUUUCUAUAUGCUGGACAUUUGCUGCUAUAAAUCUGACUGUGAUGAUACUUCUGUGAGAGGUAUGACUGUGACUACACCAAGUGGAUGAUGAUACUUUUAGUUCUGUGAGAGGUAUGACUGUGACUACACCAAGUGGAUGAUGAUACUUCUGUGAGAGAAAUUCCUUAAACUGGCAAGCUUGACAUGCGAGAACAAACAGACGAAUGGAUAGAAGUGGCGUUAUUGUUGGAUAUCCUCUCGGUGAUUGAUAAUACACGGUAAUAAUUAAUAUCAAUAACAAUGAUGUAUUUACUAUUAUAGGUGGACUCUGCGUGGUCAAGAGUGAUCGGUCUGCUAUACUUGUGAGUCCAGUAUGUUACACCAAGAAGAACUAUUCCUUGGGCUAAUUAAUUUAAAACUGUCCUUCUAAUUUAACAUUGUAUACCAUUGUCUCACUCAGUUGUCACGAACGUUUCCUAUCACUAUUUUUGUAUUAACAUGUUAUUUAUUGAAUUGAAUAAUAAUUGUUAUACCGA